rnacentral:rRNA from 1 species
GUGAACGCUGGCGGUAGGCCUAACACAUGCAAGUCGAACGGCAGCACAGUAAGAGCUUGCUCUUACGGGUGGCGAGUGGCGGACGGGUGAGGAAUACAUCGGAAUCUACUUUUUCGUGGGGGAUAACGUAGGGAAACUUACGCUAAUACCGCAUACGACCUACGGGUGAAAGCAGGGGAUCUUCGGACCUUGUGCGAUUGAAUGAGCCGAUGUCGGAUUAGCUAGUUGGCGGGGUAAAGGCCCACCAAGGCGACGAUCCGUAGCUGGUCUGAGAGGAUGAUCAGCCACACUGGAACUGAGACACGGUCCAGACUCCUACGGGAGGCAGCAGUGGGGAAUAUUGGACAAUGGGCGCAAGCCUGAUCCAGCCAUACCGCGUGGGUGAAGAAGGCCUUCGGGUUGUAAAGCCCUUUUGUUGGGAAAGAAAAGCAGCAGGUUAAUACCCCGCUGUUCUGACGGUACCCAAAGAAUAAGCACCGGCUAACUUCGUG